GCCUGGCUGGCUCAGUUGGUAGAGCAUGUGGCUCUUGAUCUCAGGGUCAUGAGCUUGAGCCUCCUGUUGGGUG
rnacentral:tRNA from 1 species